UGUAAGGCUGUGGUUCUCUCCAGCCCACAUGACAACUGUAUGUGCCACAGUCAGCACAUGGACAUGAAGGCAGAUGGAGACCUUACAGAGAACCUCAACAUCACUUCCUGAGACUGCCUGAAGCAAAGUAAUUUGAGGAUGUCUCAAGACCAUGGGAGCCAGGAUCUCUUGAGCUCUGCAAACUGCAGGUCUCUCCCAGCACAGGUGCUUUGCAGAUUUACUCUAUGAGCUGCAAUCAGAUGCUGACAAACAUCUGCGGGGUCCAGGAAUCAUUUCCCUGAAGCUCUCACACCUGGUUUCUCCUCAGCACUCACCACGAACCCAUACUUCAAGGAAGGAAGAUCACGCUUUGACAAAACAGCCAAUGCAUUUUGAUCAUAGUCAUUCCAAACGUUUUGCCCCAGGAGGAAGCCCAACAUGGAAAAUAUCAACCCAAACAGUUAAAGUCUGUGAAGAUUAAAAACAAAUGUAAAAAAAAAAUCUUGUUCACUGUAGUUUAUAAAUGAGACCUUUCAGGCAAUCCUGAUUCUCUGCCCUACCUAGAAUACACUUGCACACCCUGUUCUACACGGCAUUCUGCUUGCUGUGCAACUUAUUUUAAUCCU